rnacentral:rRNA from 1 species
ACGACUCUCGGCAACGGAUAUCUAGGCUCUUGCAUCGAUGAAGAACGUAGCGAAAUGCGAUACUUGGUGUGAAUUGCAGAAUCCCGUGAACCAUCGAGUCUUUGAACGCAAGUUGCGCCCGAAGCCUUCUGGCCGAGGGCACGCCUGCCUGGGUGUCACA